GACGAACGCUAGCGGCAGGCUUAAUACAUGCAAGUCAAGGGGGUAGCAAUACAACCGGCGCACGGGUGAGUAACGCGUACACAACAUACCAUAUACUGGGGUAUAGCUUUGGGAAACUGAAGGUAAUCCCCCAUAACAUUGCGAGAGGGCAUCUGAUUGCAAUUAAAGUUUCGGCGGUAUAUGAUUGGUGUGCGUUUGAUUAGCUAGUUGGUAGGGUAACGGCCUACCAAGGCGACGAUCAAUAGCUGGCGUGAGAGCGCGACCAGCCACACUGGAACUGAGACACGGUCCAGACUCCUACGGGAGGCAGCAGUAGGGAAUAUUGGACAAUGGGCGCAAGCCUGAUCCAGCCAUGCCGCGUGAUAGAUGAAGGCCCUCUGGGUUGUAAAUAUCUUUUAUCUGGGAAGAAACUCCUCUAUUCUUAGAGGCCUGACGGUACCAGAGGAAUAAGCACCGGCUAACUCCGUGCCAGCA
rnacentral:rRNA from 1 species